rnacentral:rRNA from 1 species
UCCUACGGGUGGCAGCAGUGGGGAAUCUUAGACAAUGGGGGAAACCCUGAUCUAGCCAUGCCGCGUGAGCGAUGAAGGCCUUAGGGUUGUAAAGCUCUUUCAGCUGGGAAGAUAAUGACGGUACCAGCAGAAGAAGCCCCGGCUAACUCCGUGCCAGCAGCCGCGGUAAUACGGAGGGGGCUAGCGUUGUUCGGAAUUACUGGGCGUAAAGCGCACGUAGGCGGAUCAGAAAGUCAGAGGUGAAAUCCCAGGGCUCAACCUUGGAACUGCCUUUGAAACUCCUGGUCUUGAGGUCGAGAGAGGUGAGUGGAAUUCCGAGUGUAGAGGUGAAAUUCGUAGAUAUUCGGAGGAACACCAGUGGCGAAGGCGGCUCACUGGCUCGAUACUGACGCUGAGGUGCGAAAGCGUGGGGAGCAAACAGGAUUAGAUACCCGAGUAGUCGCG